rnacentral:rRNA from 1 species
GACGAACGCUGGCGGCGUGCUUAACACAUGCAAGUCGAACGCUGAAGCCCAGCUUGCUGGGUGGAUGAGUGGCGAACGGGUGAGUAACACGUGAGUAACCUGCCCCCUUCUUUGGGAUAACGCCCGGAAACGGGUGCUAAUACUGGAUAUUCACUUGCUUUCGCAUGGGGGUUGGUGGAAAGGUUUUUUCUGGUGGGGGAUGGGUUCGCGGCCUAUCAGCUUGUUGGUGGGGUGAUGGCCUACCAAGGCUUUGACGGGUAGCCGGCCUGAGAGGGUGACCGGUCACAUUGGGACUGAGAUACGGCCCAGACUCCUACGGGAGGCAGCAGUGGGGAAUAUUGCACAAUGGGCGAAAGCCUGAUGCAGCGACGCCGCGUGAGGGAUGACGGCCUUCGGGUUGUAAACCUCUUUCGCUCAUGGUCAAGCCGCAGCUUUGGGUUGUGGUGAGGGUAGUGGGUAAAGAAGCGCCGGCUAACUACGUGCCAGCAGCCGCGGUAAUACGUAGGGCGCGAGCGUUGUCCGGAAUUAUUGGGCGUAAAGGGCUUGUAGGCGGUUGGUCGCGUCUGCCGUGAAAUCCUCUGGCUUAACUGGGGGGCGUGCGGUGGGUACGGGCUGACUUGAGUGCGGUAGGGGGAGACUGGAACUCCUGGUGUAGCGGUGGAAUGCGCAGAUAUCACGGACAACACCGGUGGCGAAGGGGGGUCUCUGGGCCGUUACUGACGCUUAUGAGCGAAAGCGUGGGGAGCGAACAGGAUUUAUAUACCCCUGGUAUUCCCAUGGCGAUUUCCACAGUGGAUAUGAAGCCUAAUCGUCCCGGCGGGCGGGAUUGGCGGUUUUGUUUUCA